CCCCUAGAUGUUCUGGGCCGCACGCGCGCUACACUGAACAGUUCAACAAGUCUUAACCUUGGCCGAUAGGUCUGGGUAAUCUUUGAACGCUGUUCGUGAUUGGGAUAGACCUUUGCAAUUAUGGGUCUUCAACGAGGAAUUCCUAGUAAACGCAAGUCAUCAGCUUGCAUUGAUUACGUUCCUGCCCUUUGUACACACCGCCCGUCGCACCUACCGAUUGAAUGGUCCGGUGAAAUCUCGGGACGGCGGCUUGGUCGCUUGCGUCCGACUGCUGAAACUUGAUUAAACCAUAUCAUUUAGAGGAAGGUGAAGUCGUANCA
rnacentral:rRNA from 1 species